ACCUGGCUGGCUCAGUCGGUAGAGCAUGUGACUCUUGAUCUCAGGGUUGUGAGUUCAAGCCCCACAUUGGGUU
rnacentral:tRNA from 1 species